rnacentral:lncRNA from 1 species
GGCUUCCAACUAUGUCUUCCACUUGGUGAAGCUAUUGCUUGCAUCUGCUCCGUCGCUUAAAGUGAUGUCACUACACUGCAGCGGGGAAGUUACUGAUCCUGGUGAAAGGUUGAAGAUUAAACAAGAAUUGCAACGUUUUCCUAAAUGUUCGUCAGGGGCACAAAUUUUAUUGCUUGGAUUCGAGAGCAAGUGAAACUCAUUGUCUUUCAUUCUAUUUAUCCCCAGAAAACUUGUAUUAGCUUUAAGUAUUUUACACAUUUUGAUCAAUAGCAAUAAAUCAGAGUUACCCGAUCAUAAUUAUUUUGCUUGAAAUUGAGAAUUUUGACACUAGGUUUGAAAUGAGCUUCAGAUAUCUUUAGCAGCAGCAACAAGUCCUCGUGAAGCAGCAACGACAACAACAGCAGCAACUGCACAUCGCAAACAAGCUGCAUUGAUGAAAGAAGCGCGAAAAUUAGCCCAAAACUGAUUUCCAAAUAACACGAAACCAUCCUGCAGACGAAAUGAGACGAGAUCAUACCUAGCAUAGAGGCCACCACUUUUCGGCUCAGGGUGCUGAGGUCUCUGGACCUGAUACUCCAUCUUUUGAUUCACUGGAGCUUUCUCUGUCGUCAUGAUCUUCACUUUCGGGCAACAGAUUGAAGCAGAUGCAAAGAAAGAAGUACGCGUUGUCGAUUUAAAGGCUCAACAGCUAGUGAAAGAGGCACAGGGAGCUUGUGUUGAUCAAUGUAGCCAUAAGUGAAGUAGUUAUCUUUCUGUUUCAUCAACCUUGUAAUAAACCACCUCACAUUGUAUUUCACAUCAGUGUUGCGGCAAGUACAUCUAACUCUUAAUUCCCCAUUUCCUCAACCGUGUAAUAAAUUCGAAUCUGGUGUGCUCACGGUUAGCAUUGUGAUUGAACAAAAAUUCAUGUCGGUUUUGAAGCGCAACUCGUGAAACACGAUUUAAUACCCACAAUCUUGUUAUGAACGGUAAACGUAAGAGUAGACUUAUGAAACAAAUAUGGCAAGUGAAAUAGUCUCGAGAUUGAAAUAAAUAGGCCC